rnacentral:rRNA from 1 species
UACGGAGGGUGCAAGCGUUGUUCGGAAUCACUGGGCGUAAAGCGCGUGUAGGCGGCGAGGCAAGUCGGUUGUGAAAGCCCGAGGCCCAACCUCGGAACUGCAACCGAAACUGCCUGGCUAGAGUCCCGGAGAGGGUGGCGGAAUUUCCGGUGUAGAGGUGAAAUUCGUAGAUAUCGGAAGGAACACCAGUGGCGAAGGCGGCCACCUGGACGGUGACUGACGCUGAGACGCGAAAGCGUGGGGAGCAAACAGGAUUAGAUACCCCUGUA